AACAAGGUUUCCGUAGGUGAACCUGCGGAAGGAUCAUUGU
rnacentral:rRNA from 20 species